CAGUCGAGGGGCAGCGGGGUAGGAAGCUUGCUUUCUGCCGCCGGCGACCGGCGCAUUGGGUGAGUAACACGUAUGAAACCUGGCCGUGACAGAUGGAUAACCGGGAGAAAUCCCGCCUAAUACAACAUAAUGCCGGGAGGGGACAUCCCCUGCCGGCCAAAGGGGGCGACCCCGGUCACGGAUGGGCAUGCGGCGCAUUAGGUAGUUGGUGGGGCAACGGCCCACCAAGCCGACGAUGCGUAGGGGUUCUGAGAGGAAGGUCCCCCACAUUGGAACUGAGACACGGUCCAAACUCCUACGGGAGGCAGCAGUGAGGAAUAUUGGUCAAUGGCCGGAAGGCUGAACCAGCCAAGUCGCGCGAGGGAAUAAGGCCCUACGGGUCGUAAACCUCUUUUGCCAGGGAGCAAUGCCGUCCACGUGUGGACGGAAGGAGAGUACCUGGAGAAAAAGCAUCGGCUAACUCCGUGCCAGCAGCCGCGGUAAUACGGAGGAUGCGAGCGUUAUCCGGAUUUAUUGGGUUUAAAGGGUGCGUAGGCGGCCUGCCAAGUCAGCGGUAAAAUUGCGGGGCUCAACCCCGUACAGCCGUUGAAACUGCCGGGCUCGAGUGGGCG
rnacentral:rRNA from 1 species